rnacentral:lncRNA from 1 species
CCGUUGAGCCCUUGAUUUUUCACUCCACUGUUGCCUAGUCUCCUCUCUGACUUGACCAUCGGAGGGUCCCCACCGGAGGCAUCUCCGAUCAGUGAUGACUCUUCUUGCAGGUGCGCGACACCGACGAUCGGGCGACGGGGGGAUUGGCCGCAAUAGAUUUAGCGCACCAGGUAGGGGGGCUCGACAGAGGUAAGACAGCGAGCUCCACA